UGGUGACCGGGUCCCGCCACCUCCCACAGGGACCAGCGCAGACCUCGGUCCACGCCCUCUAGGCCGGGAUGAGAGGCCACCCAACCGAGUGUUCCACAAGCUGCGGGAACUUUGUCCCCAGGACGCCCGGGCUGUAGCCAGGGGACAGGGCGGGAUCGCUUCCAAGCCCCAGGGCCACAGGGCCAAACCCAGUGGACUGAGCCGCCAAACCCCAAGUGAGGCCUCCUGCUGUGAAGCCGGCCAUGGUGGUGCACAGCUGUAAUCCCAGCACCUGGGAAGCUGAGGCAGGAGGAUCACCAUGCCAGCCUGGGCUACACGGACCACUUCUUGGAGGACAGGACCUGGCCAUCACAGUGUGGGAGAGCGGAGCAGGAACGGCCAUGAGCCCUCUGACACGAUCUCUCCAGGUGCUCCACACAUGGAAAGCAGAGUCUGUCUUUUCCUCUGCUCAGACUACUCUUCUCGUUCCUGGCACCAGGAAAAUAGAACGCGUGAAGCGUUGGAAGGCGACACAAAGCUAAAAGAUAAAGCGGCUGCCGGGAGGCACUGUGCUGCAGGAUGACAUCCACCGCAGCGGAUCUCCCCUUGGAGCUGCGCAGACAUCGGGUCUUCUGCUGACAGCAGGGUCGCUGCCACCUUGCAGCACAGAGAUGUCAUCGCCAGGGCCCUCGGCCCUCCAGCCCAGUCACUGACCUGCGUGCCAGGCCAGGCUGCAGGAUUCACACACUGAUGUGGAGGGCUGUGGCCGGUGCCUCCAGGGCAGCACACAAUGGGAGGUUGUUUUUCUUGGAAGUCUAUUUAAAUUUACUUCUAGGAAAUAAGCAAGGGAGGUUGAAAAAAGUAAUAUAAGUCAGAAAAGAAGUGUAAAAGUCACAUGAUGGCCCGCUGCCCUGAGAUGCCCACUCUUGAUGGUUCAAGUUCUCCAGACUCACCCUGUGUGUAGUCACAAAGCAGGUGUUUACGGGUGCUCACCGAGUCCUAACCUGGCCUAAGAGCUGCGCCCACCCAAGUUCACGAGUCUGCACCAGCCCUCCGUGUGCCGCAGGCCCGUGACUCUCACCGUCUCUCUACACGUGAGCCCGGACCGCAGUCAGGACCCUCACUGUUUUCUGGCUUCACAACAAGGACAUAGCACUUUGGGUGUUGACUUUAUUUUUAUUAUGUUUGUUGCUGUUGUUACAGAAGAUGGAACCCUCUACCUUUUAUUUUUGAAGUGGGCUCUGUUUUACUCCGUAAUUAUGACAGGCAAAUUCUAGCACAAUCCCCUAAAGGACACACUUCCUUCUGGUUCCUCAAACUCCAUCUCAGGGCUGCUGGGAGUGGAAUUUGUAGACAGGAUUUGAGUUCCCAAGUGACGCGGCCUUCAGGCAGGAAGCUGAUGGAGGGUGAGCCCUACCGACUGAGCACUUCCUGAGGUCAAGGGCUCCGUGCUGUGGAUUCUCCGCUGCCGCCAUCGACCCUGCUGGGCUGUGUGCUGAGGAACUGGCAGGCCCAGGGGCUGAGCAGCAGCAAGGAAACAGGCAGGCCACGGGAUGCAUGCUGCCACAUGCUGCUUAACCCGUGUGUGUGGCCAGGAGAGUGCAGAGCUCCGGCCUGCAGGGCUGUGAAUGACUGAACGGGCGCUGCUGAAGCAGCUGAAGUCAGGGUAACUUGUUACACAGCAAGAGCAAAUAAAGUCUGUCGGGAGCACCUGCCCUCUGCAGCCCAGCACCUGCAGCGCAGGUGAAAAACCGCCCCAGGACCCCAGGUCUGCACGCUGUGAUCUUUUACCAGUGCUGUCUUGUAGUCUUUGCCGUUUCCAAUUGGUUCACUCUUUUCAGCAGCAGCGUAAUGAACACUGUGCAGCUCAGUCUCUGCCCCUGCUCCUACAGUGGAACUGCACGGAUGUGAGCAAAGGUGCUUCAGAUGCAGAGGAUGAACUGCCCUCCAGAACUGUCCGUCGGUCGGAGUGACCCCCUUCCUGGUGGCCUUCCAUGAGCACACUCACUUCCCAAACAUCACCAGCACAUCACACAGUUCACACCAACUGACCAAACCUGUUCCCCUUUUGAAUUUUAGAAUUACUGGUAUAGCUAAGCGUGGUGGCACAGGCCUAUAAUCCCAGCACUUGGGAGGCUGAGGCAGGAGGAUUGCUAUGAGUCUGAGGCCAGCCUGGGCUACAGAGCAAGCCCCUUUAUCCAAAAUAAAUAAUUAAAUAAAUUUACUGGUGCACUUUGAUUUUUUUCAUGAAAGGCACCCGAGUCAUUUUCUUUUCUGUUUGUGUAUACAUAUGGAUGUACAGUAUUCCAUGAAUUGGCCAAGACUUUUUCAAUUACAAGUCACAGUCACAUCUGCUUAACCAAAAAGAGAAUUGAUGGACUCGAUGAAAUGUCACAGAGAAAGCUACUUUUAGCUAUGUCUAGAAUCAAGACUCAGGCUGGGGAUUAGCUCAGUGGCACCGUACCUGCCUCACAAGCGCAAGUUCCCCAGUUCAAUCCCCUGUACAAAAAAAAGUGUUAGAAUCCAUUCUUGUAAGCUAUCUUUUUGUUGUGUCUUAUAGGUCUUUGCUAUGGCUCUCUGAAGAGAGGGAGAUGUGUUUCCACAGUCACCAUGGAGAGGCUUGUUUCUGCAGGCUUACUAUGCACCCCUGCUUAGUUUUGUUUUUCGGUACCUGGGAUAAAACUCAGGACCUUUCGCUUGAGGGCAGGUGUGGAGCCACUGAGCUAAAUCCCCGCCCCUUGUUUUGUUUUGUUUUUAGGCAGGGUCUUGCUACAUAGUUCAUGUGGGCCUUAAACUCUCUAUGUAGCUCAGGCUGGCCUCAAACUCAAAGCGAUCCUCCUGCCUCAGCCUUCUGAGUGCUGGGACUACAAGCGCUUGCCACCACACCAGGCCACAAGCUAUCUUUUUCAAACAGUCUUUCUCUCGUAUAUCUACCUUUUUCUGCAUUGCUUACUUUUUGAGUUUUACAAAAUGACCCUUGACAACUCCAGGCCUGUAUCUUUAUAACACUAAGCUCAAAACAAAAACAACAGUAUCAGUAGCAGCAGCAGCAGCAGCAGCAGCAGCAACAGCAGCAGCAGCAGGAAUAACAAAACCCCCACCAAGCUCAAAGGAAGGUGAAUCUCUCCCUCCUGAACAUUCCCAGAAUCAAUCCUGGCUUUAGCUCUCACCAACUUGGAUAUAUCCAUCCCUGCAGCAGUCGCUAGCUCUGUGGAUGGGAUGCUGCUGGUUACACAGUGAUGCUCAGGUCACUGAACCACUCAUCCGGAAAAGUCCUGCUUGUAGCGCUCAUCAACUUGGGUCACGUGUCCACCUCUGAACCAAUCAGUGUAGCUCAACAGAUGGGAUGCUGAUGACUGGACGGCCUUAGGUCACUUGCCCACUUCUGGACCUGGGGUGCAGCCAGCUGCACCUCAACCCCAGGCACCAUGGAUUAAGUAAUGAAAGUGGAGAUGCAGUCACCAGAGGAGGGAGGCAUGCUCAGCAGCUCUCCUCUGAAGGGCCUGGUCACUCCUACGGCAGUCUCACGUAUCAGCUGCCUACCUUUCCGUGAGAGUCUAAAGAACAGAUUAUUGUUUUUUAUAUACUUUUUUAAAGCAAAACAUUUAUUUUAUACAUGCUAAGUUUUAAGUCUUUAUGUAGACAAAUCAACUUUUUCAAUAAAUACCUUCUGACUUAAGUGUUGGCCUUUAAAAAGUUCCCCUCUCGAAGAUUUUAUAUUUGCCAAUUUUCCCUGAAUGCUUUCAUAUUGUUGGUUUCUUCAUUUCAGUAUUUAUCCAUCUGUAAUUUAUGUCAGUACAAAACAUGAAGCCUGUUUCCCCCACAUGUAGUUGCUUUUUCUAACAGAAUAAUGGAACAAUUCAUCCUUUUCCCCAUGGACUAGAAACCGCUCUGUUGUCGUAGGCUGAGGUGUGUUCCAUCUGUGCUUCGGGCCUUCUCCAUUGUAUUCGUCUCCACUGAUGUUUCCCGUAAGUCUUCGCCUAAAAAAGGAACACAUUUACAGCUGCUGAUGGUCUAUUUUAGGAUCACAAUACAGGUUAACAUACUUAUAAAGAGGUGGGCAUGGCGUUCAUGCCUGACGCUGAGGCAGGAGGAUGAGAGGAUCCCAAGUCUGAGCCCAGCCUAGGUGCUGAGCAAGACCCUGUCUCAAAACAAAGAAUAAAAAAGGCUGGGGAUGAAGUUCAGUGCAAAGGUCCUGGGCUUGCAAAAUUCCCCAGUACCGCAAAAUUUGUUUUUAGAAAAAAGACCCCUCACAAAGCAUUAGAAAGUGGUGGUGAGAGCAGCGGGGGCUGCACACUUGUCACCAUCUUACGCCGCCGGUCGGUCGCUCUAGGAGGAAGCAGAAGUUCCUCUUCUUUCACCUCCCCGUCCCAGGUGAACACCUGACUGCUGCAGAGGCCUUGUGGGUUUUGAAAACAUGCCCAAGUAGUGGAGGUUUCUACUUAAAAGAAAACUCCAUUCAAAGCCCGUCUUUGGGACCACAGUUUCACAUCUUUUAUGAAAAUAAACCCAAGUCAUCCCGAGGGCUGAAUUAACACACAGUAACAGCAGCUUCGGGCGGCGGUUUGGACUAAGAACACAGCCCUGCUUCCACUUCCGCGCAGCAGUCAGCCGCCUCGCCUCUUCAUUUCGCGCUGCCUACGUGUGGGCCGAUGGAACUGUUGUGAGAGCAGCGACUGAGGCGGAGUCCGCGCGCCCCAACACAGCGAAGCGCCAGAACCGUCUGGACCCAGAAAAGCAGAAGGGCGGCCGAGGCCGAGGCGCGAAGGCCGAGCCGGCUUCCUGCAAACCAGUUUUGAGGAAGCUGCACUGUGGACAAGUGGUGCAACUCCAAGGAGAUGUGCGACAGAAGCGGAGACGCCAUGAAAACGUCGAGAGCCCGGCAGCCUGGGAUGUCCUGCCUCUGAGGGCUUUGCACUCGCCGCCUCCAAGGGCAUUUGCGUGGCCCUGUGCCGGGGCUGGGGCUCAGCCGGGCGGGGCGCUGCUGGAGAAGAGGUGAGCUGUGCAUUUCCCCCAGCUCACACCACUGCCUUCUGCAGGUGAAGAGCUACCAAGAAAGAAGAAAGCGCUCUGGGAGCCGAGGCUCCGCCUCUCAGAAUCCGAGGCCCUAUGGAUGAGUUAGGUCACGGGAUUAUUUUAGUUGCAAAGACUAAAAGGUUUUAGUGGCCAGCAAAGUGGGAAGUCAACUUACAUCCGAUUUGGGCUACACAGUCAGGGGGCCCACUGCUGGGGCUGCAAGCUCAGUGUUUACAGGGACCAGCAAGAAACUCAAGGUAUGAAAUGGGCCAGGCGUGACCAAAAAUUAGGCGAUGUUCUCUGGCUCCUCUUAUUUUUUCAGUUUUUGGAUGUGGUCAUGAUAGAUGCUUUUGGGCUGCAAAUAUCAAAAAUUCUGCCCGUGUGUAAAACAAGGUAAGAAUCAUUCUCUCUCAGUUUCUUAACUUCCCGACUCUCCACUGUGGUGCCCACCUCACCUCUGUAGUUUGACCCUAGCCGGUCCUCCCACAGCAGCACAGUGUCCAGCCACGCGCACUUUGGGAGAGUACGUCUCCUCCUGCCAGAGCAAGUCCUUUCCUUGUCUGACCACGUAGCGUAUGUCCCCUGGGCACCCCAGCACUCGGGACGCCCCUCAUCCUGCAUGAGCCAAGCCUCGGUCCUGAAGCCGCCACCACUGAGGCCUGGCCCAGUACUGUGCUGCCAGGAGGAGUCAAGGUGCCGUUACUUCCUCCUGAGCAACAGGAACA
rnacentral:lncRNA from 1 species